rnacentral:rRNA from 1 species
GACGAACGCUGGCGGCGUGCUUAACACGUGCAAGUCGAGCGGAAAGGCCCUUUCGGGGGUACUCGAGCGGCGAACGGGUGAGUAACACGUGAGUAAUCUGCCCUUGGCUUUGGGAUAACCACCGGAAACGGUGGCUAAUACCGGAUAUGACGGGCUCCGGCAUCGGGGUUCGUGGUAAAGUUUUUUCGGCCAGGGAUGUGCUCGCGGCCUAUCAGCUUGUUGGUGGGGUAAUGGCCUACAAGGCUUCGACGGGUAGCCGGCCUGAGAGGGUGACCGGCCACACUGGGACUGAGACACGGCCCAGACUCCUACGGGAGGCAGCAGUGGGGAAUAUUGGACAAUGGGCGGAAGCCUGAUCCAGCAACGCCGCGUGAGGGAUGACGGCC